rnacentral:rRNA from 1 species
GAUGAACGCUGGCGGCGUGCUUAACACAUGCAAGUCGAACGUGAGAAUAGCAAUAUUUGAAAGUGGCAAACGGGUGAGUAACACGUGGGAACCUGCCUUGGAGUGGGGGAUAACGACUGGAAACGGUCGCUAAUACCGCAUGGUUCUGCAUUGGGUGGAAUAGUGCAGAUAAAGAUUUAUUGCUCUAAGAGGGGCCCGCGGCCGAUUAGCUAGUUGGUGAGGUAAAGGCUCACCAAGGCGAUUAUCGGUAGCUGGUCUGAGAGGACGAUCAGCCACACGGGAACUGAGACACGGUCCCGACUCCUACGGGGGGCAGCAGUGAGGAAUAUUGGGCAAUGGGCGAAAGCCUGACCCAGCAACGCCGCGUGGAGGAUGAAGGCUUUUAGGGUUGUAAACUCCUUUUGUGGGGGAAAAGAGAGGAUGGUACCCCAAGAAUAAGUCACGGCUAACUACGUG